UAAAGCUGAAAUUGAUGGGUAUUUGAUUUGUAAGGAUAUCAAAGGUUAUUGGGAGAAGGCAGAAGAAUGGUGUUGAGAGGGAAAUAUGGAUCAGUCAUGAUUAGACCAGGUGAAAUAGACUCAAUGCGGACAAUUCUAGAUCAGGCAGAGUAGACACAAUAGGCCGAAGCCUGAA